CAUCCUGGGGAGGGGCUUUGAGAGGAUUCAGAUCAUCCCAGGAGCCAAACACGGGAACAUCCAGAUUAUUGCUGAUGUGAGGAAGCAGUGAGGAAUCCGCUGUAUAGUGAUCAUGCUCUCUGCCCUUUAACCUCUCAAAUCUGAAUAUAUACGCCAAUGAAUCUAAUUUUAUCUCGAGUAUGAAGGGAUCUGUAAUAUACUUGACUGUAUGUAAUGAGAAAAUAAAUUAAUGCAACAUCCAUUA